rnacentral:rRNA from 1 species
AUACAGAGGGUGCAAGCGUUAAUCGGAAUUACUGGGCGUAAAGCGCGCGUAGGCGGCUUAUUAAGUCAGAUGUGAAAUCCCAGGGCUCAACCUUGGAACUGCCUCUGAUACUGGUAAGCUAGAGUUUAGGAGAGGGAAGUAGAAUUUCAGGUGUAGCGGUGAAAUGCAUAGAGAUCUGAAGGAAUACCAGUGGCGAAGGCGACUUCCUGGCCUAAAACUGACGCUGAGGUGCGAAAGCGUGGGUAGCAAACGGGAUUAGAUACCCUAGUAGUCC